UAGGGAAUCUUCGGCAAUGGACGGAAGUCUGACCGAGCAACGCCGCGUGAGUGAAGAAGGUUUUCGGAUCGUAAAGCUCUGUUGUAAGAGAAGAACGAGUGUGAGAGUGGAAAGUUCACACUGUGACGGUAUCUUACCAGAAAGGGACGGCUAACUACGUGCCAGCAGCCGCGGUAAUACGUAGGUCCCGAGCGUUGUCCGGAUUUAUUGGGCGUAAAGCGAGCGCAGGCGGUUAGAUAAGUCUGAAGUUAAAGGCUGUGGCUUAACCAUAGUAGGCUUUGGAAACUGUUUAACUUGAGUGCAAGAGGGGAGAGUGGAAUUCCAUGUGUAGCGGUGAAAUGCGUAGAUAUAUGGAGGAACACCGGUGGCGAAAGCGGCUCUCUGGCUUGUAACUGACGCUGAGGCUCGAAAGCGUGGGGAGCAAACAGGAUUAGAUACCCUGGUAGUCCACGCUGUAAACGAUGAGUGCUAGUGUUAGACCCUUUCCGGGGUUUAGUGCCGUAGCUAACGCAUUAAGCACUCCGCCUGGGGAGUACACCGCAAGGUUG
rnacentral:rRNA from 1 species